rnacentral:rRNA from 1 species
GUGACCUACGGGGGGCAGCAGUAGGGAAUAUUGCUCAAUGGGGGAAACCCUGAAGCAGCAACGCCGCGUGGAGGAUGAAGGUUUUCGGAUUGUAAACUCCUUUUGUUAGAGAAGAUAAUGAUGGUAUCUAACGAAUAAGCACCGGCUAACUCCGUGCCAGCAGCCGCGGUAAUACGGAGGAUGCGAGCGUUAUCCGGAUUCAUUGGGUUUAAAGGGUGCGCAGGCGGGCCUUUAAGCCGGCGGUGAAAU